rnacentral:lncRNA from 1 species
CGCGAUUUUUAGGUUGGCGGCUCGGCGCGCCCGGGGAAGCGGCGCGGGCGGGCGGGAUGCUGGCGUCUCUCCCUGCCGCUGCUUUGUGCCCCCCAGCCCCAUGUCCUCUCCCCAUCAGGUGCUUCGGGGGGCUCCUUCUGCUGCGUCAUCUCUGCUCAAAUGAGGGACCUUGUCCCCCCCCCUCCGGGUUUCCCUGCAUGGAGCAGCUCAGAAGCAAUCAGGGCUGGUGAAACCAUAUGAAGCCCACGGGGUGGUUUGCAGCAUUAUUCAAGUAGCACAGAUUGAUACGGGCACAUCAACGCUAACACUUGAAAAUGGCUUUGACCUUGUUUGUGACACCUAAGAUGCAGAACUACAGCUGGGUGUUGAGUGAUGAGGUGUAUUAGGGAGCUGAGACCUUCCUUAGGAACAUCCGGCAUCUGCCAUGAGCUGGAAAAUGCUUUUUGGGAGGAGAGGGGCCAGAAAUACGUCCGUCUGCCCUGAGAAACAGUCGAAUGUCAGCGGAGGGCGGUUGUCCUGCUCCUCUCCGGGUCUUAGCCGUAUUGCUCUGAUGAAGGUGAGGGGGAUCGCAGCCUUCAUCCGCGCACCUACCCCGGCCAGACUUUGCCGAGCACGGCCACGGAGGGCGUCGAGAAGACCGGACAUAACAGAGCCCAGGAGAGGCGCGCCUCCCAACCAGCCUCGGGUACCCAGGCCGCGGCCGUGUCGUGGGAGAUCAUCGGGCCCCGUGGGCGAGGCUGGACGAGCACCCGGCUGGGGGCGCUCUCCCCUGCCCAGGGCAGGGGCCGGACUCGGUGCCCUACUCCGUCCCUUCCGACCCCAGAGGUCGCUGAUCUCGCAUCGGACCAACGGCGAGAUUUCCCCGCGCCUUCAACGCCCCUGUGAAACGCGCUUCCAUUUCCAGCUUUUCUGCUAG